rnacentral:lncRNA from 1 species
GCGAGAGCGAGAGAGAGAGAGAGAGAGCGUCACACACACAUCUCUGCCGGAAGUGAUGUCACGGCAUGGGCGCCCGCCCACCGGAGGAGCGACUGGAGUUGAUCGGCUGGGCGCUCAGGUAGCGAAGAUAAAUGUAAUCUUGUGGCAGGAAAUCGACAUUCUCUGCACUAUCUUUAGUUUUCCAACUGAACUUCUGAGAAAUGGAGGCUACAAUACCUAGUUUGCCAAACAGGAGAAGACUACAAUUCCCAGAAGGAACUGCGACCAACAUUGGUCCGUGCUCAUACUUUGCAUCAUGGGACUUGUAGUCAUCACCAGCUUGCGCUGAUUCUAACAGGUUAUAGAUUGUUUUCUAGAAUUAGCAGCGCUUUAAGGGAUGACAAUCGAUUAGAAGAGUAGGAAGAUAGAACACUGCUUAGUAGCUGAUCCGUUCUACAUAAUUCAGAAGUUCUCAUUGGCAGAGAACCCCUGAAAUUCUGUAGUGUCUUUUUACUAUCCGGUGAGCAAUUUGAUCCCGAUGAUGGAAUAUUAGCCUUGUUAGACAUGCGCUUCUGAAGACCUGUGCAGUAGGGAAAGCCGAGUUUUUUGAUAGGCAAAUCCCAAGAUUCAGACCGGUCUACAGGUCUGUUCAUCAUUAGAAUCAGAUAAUGUGGUUGAAAAAUCAUUCCACGAUUUCUAAGGCUUUUGUAUAGUCCCAAUGUUACCCAUGGAGGGUCUUGACUACAAGUCAUCCAGGUUCUUGGUUUUUUUAACAAAGAAUUGGACAAAACGCACAAAGAAAGCAAGGAAAGAAUGAAGCAAGGAAAGCAGAGAUUGAAAUGACUGUACACUCCACAGAGUGGGAAUGGCCUCCAGCCAGUGGCUCAAGAGCCCUGGUUACAGGAUUUUCUGGAGUUUAAAUAUCCGCUAGAGAUUUCCCAUUGGUUACUUGGUUUACACCCUCUGUAAAUUAAGGAGUAGCCUGCAACCAAUCAGAGGCUAAAGUUAAGUUACAAAGUUGUACUCCUAUGGAAAUGAAGACUAGGCCCAGAUACCAAGGGCCUAGAAGGUUGGGCAGGGGGUUGCAAAGGGAAUAGCCUCUGGUCUUUUUGUUACUUGGGCUUGGAAAGUUGGAGUUUUCCUUUUGAUUUAGUUCUAGGAAGUCAGCGUGAAUGGGCCUUAGGUUCCCUGCCUCCGGACCCUAUUCUACUGCCCGACUAAGAGUGAGAAAAGGUGAUAGUGGUCAUUUUGAAAUGAAGGUUGGAAAAUAGUCUGGUUUGUGACAUGAUGAUGGUUUUGGUUUAAGAGAUUCUGCCCUUUUAGUGUGAAUGAAAUAAAAAUAGAAUUCUGUAGAAACAAUGUUAGGUAGGAGAAUAGGGUCUGGAAACAGGGGACCUAAGGCUGAUUCAUGCUGACUGAUAUCAGAGGCGACUCCAUUUUCAACCCCUCUUUUUUCUGCGUGGCAGUUGCUGCGUGGCAGUUGCAACCCUCCUUUCUUUGGGUGGCAGUUGAAAAAUGAAAGAACCUCUGAUAGAGCCCCUCCCUCAACCAAUCAGACUGGUUGAGGGCCUACUUUUCACUCUGAUUGGUCUCCUUCCACAACCAAUCAGACUGGGCAUAGGCCAAUGGGAACCCUCUAGAGGGUAUUUAAGCCCCAGAAAAUUCUGUAGCUGAUGCUCUUGAACCCCUUGACUGAGUCUGUUUUCCUUCUGUGGAGUAUACUUUCAUUUAAAAUAAAUCUCUGCUUUCCAUGCCUUGUUUGUGUGUUCUGUCCAAUUCUUCGUUCAAAACACCAAGAACCUGGACAACUACCCUCAAUUGGUAACAUAUUUUGGUGAGCCAGCCAGAAGGAUCAAGUCUGUGAUACCUGAAGCCUCAGACCUGGAACCUGAAGUUUCCUUCAGCCACUACACCUGUGAACCUGUGGAAGACCUGAAGUGCCUGUUUAGAAGACAGCCAAAAGAUAAAGACCAUUGAGCUUCAUAUGAUCAUGCAACAACAUUGCCAGCCAGUUCCAAAUGAAGAUAGCACCCCCAGCGAUCAAUAAACUACCCUGCCUCCACUGGAUAGAGCAGGGAAAAAUUUCCAUGAUCAGCAAUAGGUAGGGAUUGCACCCCAAGUUAGCAUGAAGCAGCUACAGAAGAAAGACCAUCAAUCCCUCUGCUUCCCAUAAAGAUUUAUGGGAAUCACAUCUCUCAGGGGGAAUAUGAGGCAGGAAAAUAGGGUCUGGAAGCAGGGAACCUAAGGUUUAUUCAUGCUGACUGGAUAUCAGAGGCUACUCUCUUUACGACCUCUCCUUCUCUGUGGCAGUUGAAAAAUGAGACCAAUAUCCCUGAUGAACAUCAAUGCAAAAAUCCUCAAUAAAAUAUUGGCAAACAGAAUCCAGCAGCACAU